UACGGGGGGGGCAAGCGUUGUUCGGAAUUACUGGGCGUAAAGGGCUCGUAGGUGGCCAACUAAGUCAGACGUGAAAUCCCUCGGCUUAACCGGGGAACUGCGUCUGAUACUGGAUGGCUGGAGUAUGGGAGAGGAAUGCGGAAUUCCAGGUGUAGCGGUGAAAUGCGUAGAUAUCUGGAGGAACACCGGUGGCGAAGGCGGCGUUCUGGACUGCAACUGACACUGAGGAACGAAAGCCAGGGGAGCAAACGGG
rnacentral:rRNA from 1 species